rnacentral:rRNA from 1 species
UACGUAGGGGGCAAGCGUUGUCCGGAUUUAUUGGGCGUAAAGAGCGUGUAGGCGGCCAGACAGGUCAGCUGUGAAAACUCGAGGCUCAACCUCGAGACGUCGGUUGAAACCGUCUGGCUAGAGUCCGGAAGAGGAGAGUGGAAUUCCUAGUGUAGAGGUGAAAUUCGUAGAUAUUAGGAAGAAACACCGGUGGCGAAGGCGGCCAUCUGGCUCGGUACUGACGCUCAGGCGCGAAAAGCGUGGGGAGCAAACAGGG